rnacentral:hammerhead_ribozyme from 1 species
GAGCGAAACGCCCCGCCAGGGGCGUCGUCCGGGCGUGGUGGCCCGGACCUGAUGAGCAGCCGCCG